rnacentral:scRNA from 1 species
GGGGCUAUAGCGGGCCUGAAGGCCGCCGGGUU